AGUGUAAACGUUGCUCCCAGUAAAAGUAGCUGUUAACUUGUUAAUGUCGUUGUUUACACACACACACACACACACACACACACACACACACACACACAAAUCCUUUGAAUAGCAUGAAACAAUGUUUAGUGGGGGGUUUUCAUACACACGUCAGUGAUGAUAUAUAUUUUCUUUUUUGAACUCAGCAUUACUAACAGAAGCUAAAGCGAAACUGAAUUACGAGGUCUCUUAGCAACGGCGAAGUCUCCACGGCAACAUCAUCCUCCAUAUCCGUCUGUCGAAAAGCUCAAUAGGAUAUUUCAAGCAACAUCCUCACAGUACGCCAGCUGUAAAAAAUGAAAAGCGUUGCUGUGUCAAAAUUAAAGAUCGGAUUAUAAACUCAGCGAUGGGGAGUAAAAUGUCGCUGUUUAUUAAUAAUUUUUGAAGCGCGAGACACGAGCGGUGACUCGUGGAGGGAUAACAGACGAGCGCGUGACUGAGAUUCAUCGACAGUGAUGCUGUAGCUAAAUUCCGUGCAAACUGCAUUGCUGUGCAAAAACCUGUCAAAUAGCGAAUAUUUGCACUUACCGGCAGGAUGGACCCUGGUGUGCUCAUAUUCUUACUUUACGUGAUGAUAGCCCACGAGCUGGUGUGUGGACUGAUGCAGUACAGGAGACAAGCAGCCAAGCCACAUAAACGCCUAACGUGGUCCUCCAGUGCCCAUGUCUGUCAUGGAACGUGGCGAGUCAGUAGCCAGCCGGUCCGGAGAAGAGACUCAAAGAAAACUGGACGUAUUGUCAGGAAAGCGUGAUAUGAGGGCUGCUGUGGACAUAUGAUCAAUAUCAUCCAUUCUGCACUGUGAUCACUCACUGAAGCUAUGCUGGACCGCUCACUGCCGUUCAUGAUUAUGUAGUAACCGCAGCUGUGAUGCACAAAGUUUACAGUUUUCCUUCUCACUGUAAUUCUGAAUAUCUUUUCUUAAAGGGAUAGUUCACCCACUCUCAUUUACUCACCCUCAUGCCAUCCAGAUGUAUGACUUUCUUUCUUAAGAUAAACACAUACAAAAUUUUUACGAAAAUAUUCCAUCUCUCUGAGUCCAUAUAAUGCAACUGAAUAGGUGCCGCUUGGUUGACGCGUGAAAAACCACACACAGCAAUCGUGAUGUAUGACCCCAGUGGAUGAAUCUUCUGAAGUGAAAUGACAUGUGUUUAAGAAAAAUACUAAUAUUUUAAACUCUUUUAACUAUAAAUCAUCACUUCCGACCAACUGCAUAGGCUCGUUCACAAGUUCAGCUGUCGUAUUACAAGUUCACAAGUUCAGCUGUCGUAUUGUCGUAUGACAAUAGACUGGAAGCAAAGAUUUAUAGUUAAAAAAAAAAGUUACAAAUAUUUUUUUCUUACAGAUGAUGUUUCACUUCAGAAGACAUUGAUUCAUCCAUUAGGGUUGUGUUAAAAGCAAUCCAAAUGUCUCAUGCAGUAUUCCAAGUCUUCUGAAUGCAUACAGUAGCUUUAUGUAAGAAACAGGCUUUGUGUUUUCACAUUAGACAGAAAGUCAUACAGGUUUAAAACAGCAUAAGGGUGAGUAAAUUAUGACAGAAUUUUCAUUUUUGGAUUACCUAUUCCUUUAAGGAUGUUUGUGUAAUUUGAAAGCUGCUAUUUUAUUUCCUUAAACUGAGUAUUGCCUUUAUAUGAGUUGUGGUAGCCGGACACACAAUGUUCAGUCCAAACCUGAGGGGAUUUGGGAGCUCUGAACAAUCACAAUCUGAUUUCACUGUGUAUUUAAGCAUGGAUUUUAAUCCUGGAUUGCUGGAAAUAGACUUUUCUAGCAACCACAUCAAUUUUGAUGAAAAACAUUUGGUAAAUGAUGUCAAAACAGGUUUGAAAAUAUAAUUUGCAUGUUUUUUCUGCCAUUAUAUACUGUUUAAAACAUGCACUUUCUUGUUUUAGAUGUAACAAGUGCUUAACUACUGUACUUGUGUGUAUGACUUUAAUUAAACAUGCAUUUCAUGUUAGUAAUGA